rnacentral:rRNA from 1 species
AUUGAACGCUGGCGGCAGGCCUAACACAUGCAAGUCGAACGAGUGGCGGACGGGUGAGUCAUGUAUGGGAAACUGACUGAUGGAGGGGGAUAACUACUGGAAACGGUAGCUAAUACCGCAUACCAUCGGAUGUGCCCAUAUGGGAGUAGAUAGUAGUUGGGGUAAAGGCUCACCUAGGAGACGAUCCCUAGCUGGUCUGAGAGGAUGACCAGCCAAACUGGAACUGAUACACGGUCCAGACUCCUACGGGAGGCAGCAGUGGGGAAUAUGGCACAAGGGGCGAAAGCCUGAUGCAGCCAUGCCGCGUGUAUGAAGAAGGCCGUCGGGUUGUAAGGUACUUUCAGCGGGGAGGCGUUACCCGCAGAAGAAGCACCGGCUAACUCCGUGCCAGCAGCCGCGGUAAUUC